GUCCCUGUAACGCAAUGGAUAGCGCGCGCGUUGGACUUCUUGUUCAAAGGUCGUGGAAUCGAGUCCCACCUGGGAUG